ACACACUCAUCUCCUCCAUCUCUCAAUUCCACCAUUUUCCUCCAUUAAUGAAGACCUUCGAAGCUUCCAAAAAUAUUACCAAACACCUCAAACCACUCUAAUAUCUUCCAUAAACAUAUUCUAGCCACUUUUGAUCAAGAGAAUCCUUGGAGAAGAGCUCCAAAGUUAGAGUGAGAAAGUGAGAAUUUUGGUGAGAAUUUGGUCCCGAGCGAGACAAAGAAGUAAGUUGCCUGAUUUCUUUCCAGAAUAAGCGAAGGACUUCAGGCUAAGCAGGGAGUGAGAUUGGUCUGGUGCUGAUGGGGGAGAGUUUCAAACGAUGUAAUUUAAAUUACUAUUUUGCCCUUAUGAUAAUAGAGUCUUGAUGUUUGAAAUACUUAGUUUCCUUUUUGAGAUCAAGCGAUUCACUCACGGUUAUGUGUCUUCAUACAUAUAAUCGGUUCGCCUUUUGCUGUGAUACUCUGCAAAUUAUGCUUCCUUAUGAAAAAUGAACUAUACCUGUUUUGUUUU